UGGGGGCUUGCUAUACAUGCAAGUCGAGCGGACAGAUGGGAGCUUGCUCCCUGAUGUUAGCGGCGGACGGGUGAGUAACACGUGGGUAACCUGCCUGUAAGACUGGGAUAACUCCGGGAAACCGGGGCUAAUACCGGAUGGUUGUUUGAACCGCAUGGUUCAAACAUAAAAGGUGGCUUCGGCUACCACUUACAGAUGGACCCGCGGCGCAUUAGCUAGUUGGUGAGGUAACGGCUCACCAAGGCAACGAUGCGUAGCCGACCUGAGAGGGUGAUCGGCCACACUGGGACUGAGACACGGCCCAGACUCCUACGGGAGGCAGCAGUAGGGAAUCUUCCGCAAUGGACGAAAGUCUGACGGAGCAACGCCGCGUGAGUGAUGAAGGUUUUCGGAUCGUAAAGCUCUGUUGUUAGGGAAGAACAAGUACCGUUCGAAUAGGGCGGUACCUUGACGGUACCUAACCAGAAAGCCACGGCUAACUACGUGCCAGCAGCCGCGGUAAUACGUAGGUGGCAAGCGUUGUCCGGAAUUAUUGGGCGUAAAGGGCUCGCAGGCGGCUUCUUAAGUCUGAUGUGAAAGCCCCCGGCUCAACCGGGGAGGGUCAUUGGAAACUGGGGAACUUGAGUGCAGAAGAGGAGAGUGGAAUUCCACGUGUAUCUGUGAAACGCGUAGAUAUGUGGAGGAACACCAGUGUCGAAAGCGACUCUCUGGUCUGUAACUGACGCUGAUGAAUUAAAGCGUGGGGAACGAACAAGAAUAGAUAACCUGGUAGUC
rnacentral:rRNA from 1 species